rnacentral:rRNA from 1 species
CUCCGGUUGAUCCUGCCGGACCCGACUGCUAUCAGAGUGGGACUAAGCCAUGCGAGUCAACAUAGCAAUAUGUGGCAUACGGCUCAGUAACACGUAGUCAACAUGCCCAGGGGACGUGGAUAACCUCGGGAAACUGAGGAUAAACCGCGAUAGGUCAUCACUUCUGGAAUGGGUAAUGACUUAAAUCUAUAUGGCCCCUGGAUUGGACUGCGGCCGAUCAGGCUGUUGGUGAGGUAAUGGCCCACCAAACCUGUAACCGGUACGGGCUCUGAGAGGAGGAGCCCGGAGAUGGGCACUGAGACAAGGGCCCAGGCCCUAUGGGGCGCAGCAGGCGCGAAACCUCUGCAAUAGGCGAAAGCCUGACAGGGUUACUCUGAGUGAUUUCCGUUAAGGAGAUCUUUUGGCACCUCUAAAAAUGGUGCAGAAUAAGGGGUGGGCAAGUCUGGUGUCAGCCGCCGCGGUAAUACCAGCACCCCGAGUGGUCGGGACGUUUAUUGGGCCUAAAGCAUCCGUAGCCGGUUCUACAAGUCUUCCGUUAAAUCCACCUGCUUAACAGAUGGGCUGCGGAAGAUACUAUAGAGCUAGGAGGCGGGAGAGGCAAGCGGUACUCGAUGGGUAGGGGUAAAAUCCGUUGAUCCAUUGAAGACCACCAGUGGCGAAGGCGGCUUGCCAGAACGCGCUCGACGGUGAGGGAUGAAAGCUGGGGGAGCAAACCGGAUUAGAUACCCGGGUAGUCCCAGCUGUAAACGAUGCAGACUCGGUGAUGAGUUGGCUUCUUGCCAACUCAGUGCCGCAGGGAAGCCGUUAAGUUUGCCGCCUGGGGAGUACGGUCGCAAGACUGAAACUUAAAGGAAUUGGCGGGGGAGCA